GUGGGGAAUCUUCCGCAAUGGACGAAAGUCUGACGGAGCAACGCCGCGUGAGUGAUGAAGGUUUUCGGACUGUAAAGCUCUGUUGUUUAGGACGAAAGUGCCUGUUGCGAAUAGUUACAGGUAUUGACGGUACUGAACGAGGAAGCCACGGCUAACUACGUGCCAGCAGCCGCGGUAAUACGUAGGUGGCAAGCGUUGUCCGGAAUUAUUGGGCGUAAAGAGCAUGUAGGCGGGAAUCUAAGUCUGUUGUGAAAAUGCGGGGCUCAACCCCGUAUUGCGAUGGAAACUGGGUUUCUUGAGUGCAGGAGAGGAAAGGGGAAUUCCCAGUGUAGCGGUGAAAUGCGUAGAUAUUGGGAGGAACACCAGUGGCGAAGGCGCCUUUCUGGACUGUGUCUGACGCUGAGAUGCGAAAGCCAGGGUAGCGAACGGGAUUAGAUACCCUGGUAGUC
rnacentral:rRNA from 1 species